AACUGUUGCUAUCAGCUGCUGUUUCUGUUGUUGUUGUUGCAUUACUGGACGUUGGACUGCAUCUUCAUUGUAUCAUUUGAUUUACCCUGCAAAACUUCAACAAUGCUCACUUCCGUCGCCCAAAAGCGAACUAGCAGAAUGUUCACCUGCAAGCCCGGCCAUUUCUUUACCCAUAUGCCCGCUGUCGUGCACUGCGAGAAAAUCAGUGAGCUCCAAUCGAUGGCGUAAAUUGCAGCUAAGCAUGUUGAUACUUACAUGUUGGUACAUUUUAAGCAAUGUGUAUGUUUGCUCACAUAGAUUUCGAUUACAUGGAUGUACAUUAAUAAAAUUACCUACAAGAUAUAAUA